rnacentral:rRNA from 1 species
GAUGAACGCUGGCGGCGUGCUUAACACAUGCAAGUCGAACGAUGAACCCUAGCUUGCUGGGGGGAUUAGUGGCGAACGGGUGAGUAACACGUGAGUAACCUGCCCUUGACUCUGGGAUAAGCCUGGGAAACUGGGUCUAAUACUGGAUAUGACCUUUCAUCGCAUGGUGGUCGGUGGAAAGUUUUGUGGUUUUGGAUGGACUCGCGGCCUAUCAGCUUGUUGGUGGGGUAAUGGCCUACCAAGGCGACGACGGGUAGCCGGCCUGAGAGGGUGGACGGCCACACUGGGACUGAGACACGGCCCAGACUCCUACGGGAGGCAGCAGUGGGGAAUAUUGCACAAUGGGCGAAAGCCUGAUGCAGCGACGCCGCGUGGGGGAUGAAGGCCUUCGGGUUGUAAACCUCUUUCAGUAGGGAAGAAGCGAAAGUGACGGUACCUGCAGAAGAAGCGCCGGCUAACUACGUGCCAGCAGCCGCGGUAAUACGUAGGGCGCAAGCGUUAUCCGGAAUUAUUGGGCGUAAAGAGCUCGUAGGCGGUUUGUCGCGUCUGCCGUGAAAGUCCGGGGCUUAACUCCGGAUCUGCGGUGGGUACGGGCAGACUAGAGUGAUGUAGGGGAGACUGGAAUUCCUGGUGUAGCGGUGAAAUGCGCAGAUAUCAGGAGGAACACCGAUGGCGAAGGCAGGUCUCUGGGCAUUAACUGACGCUGAGGAGCGAAAGCAUGGGGAGCGAACAGGAUUAGAUACCCUGGUAGUCCAUGCCGUAAACGUUGGGCACUAGGUGUGGGGGACAUUCCACGUUUUCCGCGCCGUAGCUAACGCAUUAAGUGCCCCGCCUGGGGAGUACGGCCGCAAGGCUAAAACUCAAAGGAAUUGACGGGGGCCCGCACAAGCGGCGGAGCAUGCGGAUUAAUUCGAUGCAACGCGAAGAACCUUACCAAGGCUUGACAUGAACCGGAACAGCGCAGAGAUGUGUUGGCCACUUGUGGCCGGUUUACAGGUGGUGCAUGGUUGUCGUCAGCUCGUGUCGUGAGAUGUUGGGUUAAGUCCCGCAACGAGCGCAACCCUCGUUCCAUGUUGCCAGCGGGUUAUGCCGGGGACUCAUGGGAGACUGCCGGGGUCAACUCGGAGGAAGGUGGGGACGACGUCAAAUCAUCAUGCCCCUUAUGUCUUGGGCUUCACGCAUGCUACAAUGGCCGGUACAAAGGGUUGCGAUACUGUGAGGUGGAGCUAAUCCCAAAAAGCCGGUCUCAGUUCGGAUUGAGGUCUGCAACCCGACCUCAUGAAGUCGGAGUCGCUAGUAAUCGCAGAUCAGCAACGCUGCGGUGAAUACGUUCCCGGGCCU